UACGAAGGGGGCUAGCGUUGCUCGGAAUCACUGGGCGUAAAGGGUGCGUAGGCGGGUUUUAAGUCAGGGUGAAAUCCUGGAGCUCAACUCCAGAACUGCCUUUGAUACUGAAGAUCUUGAGUCCGGGAGAGGUGAGUGGAACUGCGAGUGUAGAGGUGAAAUUCGUAGAUAUUCGCAAGAACACCAGUGGCGAAGGCGGCUCACUGGCCCGGUACUGACGCUGAGGUGCGAAAGCGUGGGGAGCAAACAGG
rnacentral:rRNA from 1 species